UACGGAGGGUGCGAGCGUUGUCCGGAAUCACUGGGCGUAAAGGGCGCGUAGGCGGCCUGAUAAGUAGGGGGUGAAAUCCUGCGGCUUAACCGCAGGGCUGCCUUCUAAACUGUCAGGCUUGAGCACAGUAGAGGCAGGUGGAAUUCCCCGGUGUAGCGGUGGAAUGCGUAGAGAUCGGGAAGAACAUCAGUGGCGAAGGCGGCCUGCUGGGCUGUUGCUGACGCUGAGGCGCGACAGCGUGGGGGAGCAAACAGG
rnacentral:rRNA from 1 species